UACAGUCCUCCCUACCCUGUCUUUCAGCUCUCAUUCCCUCUCUCUGGCUGAUGUUCAACUAGCUUCGUAGGUCGGCAAGUGGCGCCUGAACAGGGACCAGAGCACGAGGGAGUCCAUGAAGAGCCCCCAGCAAGAAGAGACGAGUUGUCCUCACAUGAAGCAAGAUGGAUUCUGGAGAGACUUGUCUGGCCAGUAGAGAAGGAAAAGGAAAAGACCUUUGAGGAAGUUGACCAAGAAACCAGGACACAGAGUGCUACCACAGGAUGCCUACCUGGCCUCAUUGCGAGCCAGAAUGCAACCGUCUAUAAGAACAAAGACAUCACAUGGGUCUCUUUGGCAUCUCCGAGGAAAUGGACAGUUUGGCAGUGGCUACUUUUGGAUGACUGACUUCCCUUGAGGGAAGGACUGCAUUUUGCUGAAGGACUGCAAUAAAACAUGUGGACAUUG